GGGUGCAGUCAUACCAACACUAAUGCACCGGAUCCCAUCAGAACUCCGCAGUUAAGCGUGUUUGGGUGAGAGUAGUACUAGGAUGGGUGACCUCCUGCGAAGUCCUUGUGUUGCACCCCUUU
rnacentral:rRNA from 1 species